rnacentral:rRNA from 1 species
AACGAACGCUGGCGGCAUGCCUAACACAUGCAAGUCGAACGGGACCUUCGGGUCUAGUGGCGCACGGGUGCGUAACGCGUGGGAACCUGCCCUUAGGUUCAGAAUAACUCCCCGAAAGGGGUGCUAAUACCGGAUAAUGUCUUCGGACCAAAGAUUUAUCGCCUUUGGAUGGGCCCGCGUUGGAUUAGCUAGUUGGUAGGGUAAAAGCCUACCAAGGCGACGAUCCAUAGCUGGUCUGAGAGGAUGAUCAGCCACACUGGGACUGAGACACGGCCCAGACUCCUACGGGAGGCAGCAGUGGGGAAUAUUGGACAAUGGGCGAAAGCCUGAUCCAGCAACGCCGCGUGAGUGAUGAAGGCCUUAGGGUUGUAAAGCUCUUUUACCCGGGAUGAUAAUGACAGUACCGGGAGAAUAAGCUCCGGCUAACUCCGUG